rnacentral:rRNA from 1 species
AUUGAACGCUGGCGGCAGGCCUAACACAUGCAAGUCGAACGAGUGGCGGACGGGUGAGUAAUGUCUGGGAAACUGCCCGAUGGAGGGGGAUAACUACUGGAAACGGUAGCUAAUACCGCAUACCAUCGGAUGUGCCCAGAUGGGAUUAGCUAGUAGGUGGGGGAACGGCUCACCUAGGCGACGAUCCCUAGCUGGUCUGAGAGGAUGACCAGCAACACUGGAACGAGGACACGGUCCAGACCCCUACGGAGGGCAGCAGUGGGGAAGAUUGCAAAAUGGGGGCAAGCCGGAUGAAGCAAUGCCGCGUGUAUGAAGAGGGUCUUCGGGUUGUAAAGUACUUUCAGCGAGGAGGCGUUACUCGAAGAGGAAGCACCGGCUAACUCCGUGCCAGCAGCCGCGGUAAUUC